GAUGAACGCUGGCGGCGUGCCUAAUACAUGCAAGUCGAGCGAACGGACGAGAAGCUUGCUUCUCUGAUGUUAGCGGCGGACGGGUGAGUAACACGUGGAUAACCUACCUAUAAGACUGGGAUAACUUCGGGAAACCGGAGCUAAUACCGGAUAAUAUUUUGAACCGCAUGGUUCAAAAGUGAAAGGCGGUCUUGCUGUCACUUAUAGAUGGAUCCGCGCUGCAUUAGCUAGUUGGUAAGGUAACGGCUUACCAAGGCAACGAUGCAUAGCCGACCUGAGAGGGUGAUCGGCCACACUGGAACUGAGACACGGUCCAGACUCCUACGGGAGGCAGCAGUAGGGAAUCUUCCGCAACGGGCGAAAGCCUGACGGAGCAACGCCGCGUGAGUGAUGAAGGUCUUCGGAUCGUAAAACUCUGUUAUUAGGGAAGAACAUAUGUGUAAGUAACUGUGCACAUCUUGACGGUACCUAAUCAGAAAGCCACGGCUAACUACGUG
rnacentral:rRNA from 1 species